CUGACAUUCCAAUGCAGCAGCCAAAGCAGUCGCCAGGAGGCGUCUCCCGACGAUGAUGACAACUCCAUCUGGUCCGUUCAGGUUCAUGCGAGUGCCAACUCCGACCGCGACCACCACGAGCUGCUUGAAGAAGAAGAAGAAGAAGAAGAAGAAGAAGGCAUCGAUUCCAAAGUAACGGAAGCAGCAGAAGAAGAAGAGGAAGAGGGCGAAGCAAACGACGAAGAGUUGCUGGGCGACUUGUGCGAAGGUAUGAAGAAGAUGUCGAUGCUGGAUGACGAGCCAAGGUUGCUCGAGUUCACAGGGAAGCACACG
rnacentral:lncRNA from 1 species